rnacentral:tRNA from 1 species
GGGCGAUUAGCUCAGUUGGCUAGAGCGCUUGCUCGACACGCAAGAGGUCAGAGGUUCGAAUCCUCUAUCGCCCACCA